CUUCAGCAAAUCACAUUUUGGGUAUACAAUGACGGAUUUAAUCGGGAAAAAGACCCAAUUGUGAUGUUUAUGUGACAUAUAGGAGUGCCAAGAAAGAAGCUCAUCAAAGGUAUGAACAAGGUAGAGGAGAAGUUAAAGGCUGGUCGUGUGAAGAGAUUAGAGGGGGGUCUGUUCAGCGAGGAGCCCCAGAGGAAGCACCCUGGUCCAGCCUCCAGGAGAGACCUACCACCCCUCUCCUCUGGACCUGAGCCCUAUGACCAUGCCUCAGGACUACCUCGCCUGAUGACUCCUUGCUGUCCCCAGUCCACCCGGUCGUGCUGCUGCUCCAGUUUCAACUGUUCUGCCUGUGGCUAUGGAAACCUGACCUUUUCACCGGAUGUGCUUGUCCCGGACCUGCUGUUUUCGACUCUCUCUUUCUCUACUGCACCUGCUGUCUCUAACUCUAAAUGAUCGGCUAUGAAAAGCCAAAUUACAUUUUCUCCUGAGGUGCUGACCUGUUUCACCCACUACAACCACUGUGAUUAUUAUUAUCUGACCCUGCUGGUCAUCUAUGAACGUUUGAACAUCUUGGCCAUGUACUGUUAUAAUCUUCACCCAGCACAGCCAGAAGAGGACUGGCCACCCCACAUAGCCUGGUUCCUCUCUAGGUUUCUUCCUAGGUUUUGGCCUUUCUAGGGAGUUUUUCCUAGCCACCGUGCUUCUACAUCUGCAUUGCUUGCUGUUUGGGGUUUUAGGCUGAGUUUCUGUACAGCACAUUGUUACAUCAGCUGAUGUAAAAAGGGCUUCAUAAAUACAUUUGAUU
ensembl:lncRNA